AACAGCUCCAGCAUUAGGACUGCCUGACCUAUCCAAAGAUUUUCAGCUGUUUGUGCAUGAAAGACUACACCUAGCACAGGGAGUGCUGACCCAAGGUUUGUGAAGCUGGAAAAGGCUGCUUUGUUCCUAGGUACCACAACUGAAGAAGGCCCAUUGGAACACGAUUGUGUGGAAGUGAUAGAACACACCUGUUCAGCUAGAGCUGAAAGAUGUCCCACUGGAACAGGCAGACUGGGAGCUGUUUACAGGUGGAAGCAGUUUUGUGGAGAACAGGACCAGAUACCCUGGAUAUGCAGUAACAACAACAGGUGCAGUGGUGGAGGCAAAGGCCUUGCCAGCAAACACAUCUGCCCAACGAGCACAACUGGUUGCUUUAACCAGGGCAUUAGAGCUGAGUGAAGGGAAGAAAGUAAAUAUCUGGACUGAUUCAAAAUAUGCUUUUGGAGUGGUGCAUGUACAUGGGGCACUGUGGAAAGAAAGAGGACUGCUGUCUUCUCAAGGCACACACAUUAAACAUCAAGAUGCAGUCCUGCAAUUAAUAAAAGCAGUACAAAAGCCUGAGCAAGUAGCAAUCAUGCACUGCAAAGCUCACCAGUCAGGAAGCUCCAAAAUUCAUGAGGGAAAUCGGAAAGCAGACUGGACAGCCCGACAAGCUGCUCGAGAAGUGCAAACUGCAAUGGCAUUGAUACC